rnacentral:rRNA from 1 species
CGAGUCUUUGUAGUAAUACAAGGCAGACGGCUCAGUAACACGUAGUCAACCUACCCUAUGGACGAGAAUAAUCUCGGGAAACUGAGCGUAAUUCUUGAUAGAUCAUAAUGCCUGGAAUGGUUUAUGGUUAAAAUGAUUCGUCGCCAUAGGAUGGGACUGCGGCCUAUCAGCUUGUUGGUGAGGUAAUGGCCCACCAAGGCGAUUACAGGUACGGGCUCUGAGAGGAGAAGCCCGGAGAUGGGUACUGAGACACGGACCCAGGCCCUAUGGGGCGCAGCAGGCGAGAAAACUUUGCAAUGUGCGAAAGCACGACAAGGUUAAUCCGAGUGAUUUCUGCUAAAGAAAUCUUUUGUCAGUCGUAAAACCACUGGCGAAUAAGGGGUGGGCAAGUUCUGGUGUCAGCCGCCGCGGUAAAACCAGCACCUCAAGUGGUCAGGAUGAUUAUUGGGCCUAAAGCAUCCGUAGCCGGCUUUGUAAAUUUUCGGUUAAAUCCAUGUGCUCAACGCAUGGGCUGCCGAAAAUACUGCAUGGCUAGGGAGUGGGAGAGGUAGACGGUACUCAGUA